AGAUGCGGAACAGGAUUUGGACAUCCAAGUUUUGAAGAAGCAGAAGAAGGACUUGAUUGCUGCUGUACAGAAAGAGAAAUCUGCGAAGAAGAUAACAAAGAAGGUAGAAACUAGCAGUUCUGACUCAUCUGAUUCUGAGGAAGAGCAGAAGAAGGAUAAAGCUGCGAAAAAAAUACCGAAGAAGGUAGAGACUAGCAGUUCUGACUCAUCUGAUUCUGAGGAAGUGCAGAAGACUAAGAAGACUAAGAAAGUUACUGCGAAGGAACCUCCAUCUAAGCUGAAGGAUGAAUCUUCUUCUGAAGAGGAUGA